AAACAGUUAGUACAGUGAAUAAACCAGUAGAAUACAAUAAAAAAAAAUAGGAUCAGAAAUCUCUAUUAUGCAUUCUUCAAAGACAUAUUUACACAUGUGUUUAGUAUUAUGUUAGACCUUCUAAUGCUUGCAAAGUAAAUGUUGAAUUUUAACUAAGUUCACCUCAUUGUAAACUCAGGAUUUUAACCAAGCCCUUUUUCCUGGCAAAAGGGAGGACCACUAAAUUCUUGAUAAAGUCUUUAAAAUCUUUUCAUUUAGCUUAGUGAUCUGCAAAAAAUCUUUGCGUGAAUCUGCCCAAAGUUACACCCAUGUAUUUCCUCUCACUGGUGCUGAUUUCUCUCUAGACUACUCAGACAAAAAUACCUCAGUGCCACAGUCUAGAAACUAGCUGAUUUUUUUUUAAUUUAUUUUAUUUUUCUUUUCAUAUUUUCUGUCAUUUGCUUUGAGCUCCUUCAGCUGUUAAGGUCAGGGCAGAGUUUAACCCUCACAGCCUGAGCUCAGUUCUUAAUUAAGCACCUAAUCAAAGUGUUCCUAAAUUUGAGAGCCUGAAUGACAGUCCUCUUUGUUCAAGCGGCCUCUUCUGGAUGUUUCCACUCUGAGCUGCCUGGAGGGCAUAGAGAAGGACCUCUAAGGCAAAGAUCUCAGGUAGAGAGGAAGGAGAUGAUCUGUUCUUCAGGUCUGCUGGACCAAACAAGAUCAAUUCACACUGACAAAGUGGUUGCUGAUCCAAGCAACCCAAGACUGGGGUUGCUGAUCAUAAAUACUGUUGCAGUUUCUCUUGUUUUAUCUGUACAGAAUAAAGAACAACACAACUAUGAAAUAACUGGCAAACUUCAGCCACAGAUAGAAAUUAUAAGUACUUUCAAAGUGCUUUGGAACACCUUUCCCUCCUUUUAACUUGUUUUGGAUCUUUUUUUACCCACCAUUUUCAGAAGGACAGACUUUUCCCAGAAGAUUGCACAGUACAGAAGCAUAUCAAUUUGAAUCAAACGUAAAAUGUCAUCAGAAAAGGAAUGUUAUAUUUGUAUCUUUUAACUGGUGAAGGUGACAUAGUUCGUAAUGAGGGGUGAUAAUUUGGUGGGGUGAAACACAAUACAGAAUGAAGACACCUUACUCUUCAAAGUCAGUUUCAUAACUUGCUGUAUGUAAGGGACUAAUUCAAUUCCUGAAGAAGUCUGGGUAUAGAUUAAUGAGAAUACUUUAAUAUUUGGAGGCAGAGAGUUCCUGUGGUGGUGGAUAGGAUAAAACUUUUGGAGAAUGCCAAAAUUAUUUAAAAUGCUCAACCAUGUAACCAUCCUUCUACCUCUGAGCAAAGCAAUCGUGGCCCAUGUUAAAUUGCCAGCAAAACUCCUAUUGCUUACAUUUGGGUCAGGAAAUCACUCAGACAGAUUAAAAAGAUAGAUGAGAAUAUGCCACUAAAACUCAAUGGAAAUUACUUCAUCGGGGGAAUCACUUAAUGGCCUGCAGUAAAUCUAAAGCAACUUAGGUAAAGAAUGAAAUAUUACUGUUAGAUUAGAGCUGUCUUUUAAAUUAUCUCAUUUUUUUUCCUUAUUAUCAUACACAAAGAAUACGAUUUUCAAAGUUAGUUGUGCACAUAUUUCCAGAAAACUUUGAUGUAAUUGUAUAACUUGUGUGUGGUGUGUGAAAUCAAAGUACAGGGUUAUAUGUAUUUUACUUGUAUUGUUCAUCUGUGAUAUGCCCUCCAAAUGUACUCUUCCACUUGAUUGUUAUCACUCAUUUCUGUUUGCCUGGACUUGAAAAGCUGGCUGUGGAAGUUUGAACAAUAUUUAAUUCUACCUUAAAACAAUAUGACCAUUUCAGUUGACUAACACAAAAUAAAUCUGCUGGCUUGCUGGAGGGUGAGCAAUCACA